rnacentral:rRNA from 1 species
CACUAUGCCUGGCCCUAAAAAUUGAUAGUCCCUUACACCCACUAUCCGCCUGGGAACUACGAGCAAAACUUGAAACCCAAAGGACUUGGCGGUGCUUUAGACCCAACUAGAGGAGCCUGUCCUAGAACCGAUAUUCCUCGUUAAACCUUACCUUUUCUUGCAACUUCCGCCUAUAUACCGCCGUCGUAAGCUUACCCUGUGAAGGUGCCCAUAGUGAGCAAAGUUAGUAUCGCCCCACACGUCAGGUCGAGGUGUAGCAUAUGUAAAGGAAUGAGAUUGGCUACAUUUACUAUCAGUAGUAAAUUACGGAUGAUGCCCUGAAACACCGCAUCUGAAGGUGGAUUUAGUAGUAAGUAAAAAACAGUGUGUUUUACUGAAACUUGGCUAUGAAGCGUGCACACACCGCCCGUCACUCUCCCCAUAAAAACUUUUUGACUUAAACUAUACAACCUAAAACGCUAAGGGGAGACAAGUCGUAA